UACACAGCAUUUUUUUGCAUUAUUUUGCGUAAAAAUAACUUAGGUGCUACAUUUUCUUGUUCCGUUUACCAAUUUUUAUUCCAAAGAAGCAACUUUUAUUCUUUCAAGGCUCCAGUUUCAGAAUCCCACUUCUCCAGCUUCCCCUAACAAUAUUAAUUUUCAGCAAGAAUUGGGAUUGUUUGGAUUAAGAACUUCGAAAGCCAAAUCGAGAAUUUGAGAGAGCAAGAGAUGAGCAGCAAUAAGAACAAAGUGUUAAUAGUAGGAGGCACUGGCUACUUAGGCCAGCACCUAUUACAAGGCUUCUCUGAAAAUCAAGAAACAUCACAAUAUGCCUUAGCAUUCACGCAUUACACAAGCCCUCCACCGCAGCCAUUGCUGGAUGCCAUUCCUCAAGCUCUCCCCUUUCAUGUCGAUUUACGUACUGGUGAUGGGUUUGAUGCCAUCUCCCAGAAAUUCGGGCAUCCUGAUAUAGUGGUUAAUUGUGCUGCCCUUUCUGUUCCUCGUGCUUGUGAGAUGGAUCCUGCUGGUGCCAUGUCUAUAAAUGUGCCUUCUGCUCUUGUUAAAUGGAUGUCGAGCUUCAAUAAUAGCAAUGCUCUUCUCAUUCAUUUGUCAACUGAUCAAGUUUAUGAAGGAACCAAAUCCUUCUACAAGGAAGAAGAUGAAACUCUUCCUGUGAAUGUUUAUGGGAAAUCCAAAGUGGCAGCUGAGCAAUUUAUACGAACAAGCUGCUCAAACUUUACCAUUUUGAGGAGCAGUAUCAUAUAUGGGCCACAAACAGUCUCACCUGUUCCAAAGUCGCUUCCAAUUCAGUGGAUAGAUAGUGUCCUUGCCAAGGGUGAAACGAUUCAAUUUUUCUAUGAUGAGUACCGUUGCCCUGUUUAUGUCAAGGACCUUGUGCAUAUUAUACAAGCUUUGAGCAUCAGAUGGAUCUCAGAGGGCAAGCCAAUGCAAUUGGUGGUAAAUAUUGGUGGGCCAGCUAGGGUGUCCAGGGUUCAAAUGGCUGAGGCUGUUGCUCAUGUUGGAGGCCACAAGACCUCAUUAAUCAAUCCGGUCUCUGCAUUGUCGGUUGAUCGUGGUGUCAAUUCCCCUUCUGACAUAUCCAUGGAUAUCACUAAACUGAUUCAGACAGUUGGUAUCUCUCCUAUUACGUUUACAGAUGGUGUCAGAUUGACUCUUGAAUGCUAAAGUCCAUUCCAUGCUUUGUGGGUUACUUCCUCCCUCAGUCAUGUUAUUUGUAACGCUCCCCUUGGGUCACUGAUCUGGUAUACAUGCUCAUUCACUGAUAAAUUAGGGCGGAUAGAGAGAUUAUACAUUGAUGGCAAAUUAUAUGUCACAGAGUAGAUAAAAGGAACCAUCAAAAGGCUAGCAGUGCAUAUUGAUAGAGGUCGCUAGGAAUGUACUUGAAGUUGCCCUUAGGGAACACCUCUGCAACAAGCUUGCUUUCUGAACAGCAGGACUGGUGGCUAAGCUUUAAGGACAUAUUCCUGAUAUCAGUAAGUGAGAUUUGGAUUCUUCCAGCUUGCGGUGCCAAUGGCAUUAUGGGAUAUUUACAUCGGUUCAAUUCCAUUUCAUGUCAGUAUAGAUAUUAUUUGCUGCAGUGAGGUUGACAUUGAGAUGGAAAGUAAAACGACUAUAAACAAUGCAGAUUAGAGAUUUUGCUCCCUUUUGGAUGCAUUCAAAAUUCUUGGACUGUUUUCUCCACCAUAUGCUCUUUUACGCGGAGAAUAUUGAUGAACUUCCAGAACAAAUUCCACCUUUGACCGGUUCAGAAU